UUGUGGCCGAAUGGCCUAGUGGUAUGAUUCUCGCUUUGGGUGCGAGAAGUCUCGGGUUCAACCCCCCCACAAA